rnacentral:rRNA from 1 species
AGAGUUUGAUCCUGGCUCAGGACGAACGCUGGCGGCGCGCCUAACACAUGCAAGUCGAACGGAGCUGAGAGGAGCUUGCUUUUCUUAGCUUAGUGGCGAACGGGUGAGUAACGCGUGAGUAACCUGCCCUGGAGUGGGGGACAACAGUUGGAAACGACUGCUAAUACCGCAUAAGCCCACGGUCCGGCAUCGGGCUGAGGGAAAAGGAUUUAUUCGCUUCAGGAUGGACUCGCGUCCAAUUAGCUAGUUGGUGAGGUAACGGCCCACCAAGGCGACGAUUGGUAGCCGGACUGAGAGGUUGAACGGCCACAUUGGGACUGAGACACGGCCCAGACUCCUACGGGAGGCAGCAGUGGGGAAUAUUGCACAAUGGGGGAAACCCUGAUGCAGCGACGCCGCGUGGAGGAAGAAGGUUUUCGGAUUGUAAACUCCUGUCGUUAGGGACGAUAAUGACGGUACCUAACAAGAAAGCACCGGCUAACUACGUGCCAGCAGCCGCGGUAAAACGUAGGGUGCAAGCGUUGUCCGGAAUUACUGGGUGUAAAGGGAGCGCAGGCGGACCGGCAAGUUGGAAGUGAAAACUAUGGGCUCAACCCAUAAAUUGCUUUCAAAACUGCUGGCCUUGAGUAGUGCAGAGGUAGGUGGAAUUCCCGGUGUAGCGGUGGAAUGCGUAGAUAUCGGGAGGAACACCAGUGGCGAAGGCGGCCUACUGGGCACCAACUGACGCUGAGGCUCGAAAGCAUGGGUAGCAAACAGGAUUAGAUACCCUGGUAGUCCAUGCCGUAAACGAUGAUUACUAGGUGUUGGAGGAUUGACCCCUUCAGUGCCGCAGUUAACACAAUAAGUAAUCCACCUGGGGAGUACGACCGCAAGGUUGAAACUCAAAGGAAUUGACGGGGGCCCGCACAAGCAGUGGAGUAUGUGGUUUAAUUCGAAGCAACGCGAAGAACCUUACCAGGUCUUGACAUCCGAUGCAUAGUGCAGAGAUGCAUGAAGUCCUUCGGGACAUCGAGACAGGUGGUGCAUGGUUGUCGUCAGCUCGUGUCGUGAGAUGUUGGGUUAAGUC